GUGACUGUAGCUUAACGGUAAAGCAUCCGGUUGUGGGCCGGAAGACGCGGGUCCGACUCCCGUCAGUCACC
rnacentral:tRNA from 1 species